rnacentral:rRNA from 1 species
GACGAACGCUGGCGGCGUGCCUAAUACAUGCAAGUCGAACGCUUCUUUCCUCCCGAGUGCUUGCACUCAAUUGGAAAGAGGAGUGGCGGACGGGUGAGUAACACGUGGGUAACCUACCCAUCAGAGGGGGAUAACACUUGGAAACAGGUGCUAAUACCGCAUAACAGUUUAUGCCGCAUGGCAUAAGAGUGAAAGGCGCUUUCGGGUGUCGCUGAUGGAUGGACCCGCGGUGCAUUAGCUAGUUGGUGAGGUAACGGCUCACCAAGGCCACGAUGCAUAGCCGACCUGAGAGGGUGAUCGGCCACACUGGGACUGAGACACGGCCCAGACUCCUACGGGAGGCAGCAGUAGGGAAUCUUCGGCAAUGGACGAAAGUCUGACCGAGCAACGCCGCGUGAGUGAAGAAGGUUUUCAGAUCGUAAAACUCUGUUGUUAGAGAAGAACAAGGACGUUAGUAACUGAACGUCCCCUGACGGUAUCUAACCAGAAAGCCACGGCUAACUACGUG